rnacentral:rRNA from 1 species
CCUACGGGACGCAGCAGUGGGGAAUAUUGCACAAUGGGCGCAAACCUGAUGCAGCCAUGCCGCGUGUAUGAAGAAGGCCUUAGGGUUGUAAAGUACUUUCAGUUGGGAGGAAGGCGUUGAUGCUAAUAUCAUCAACGAUUGACGUUACCAACAGAAGAAGCACCGGCUAACUCCGUGCCAGCAGCCGCGGUAAUACGGAGGGUGCAAGCGUUAAUCGGAAUUACUGGGCGUAAAGCGCACGCAGGCGGUUGAUUAAGUUAGAUGCGAAAUCCCCGGGCUUAACCUGGGAAUGGCAUCUAAGACUGGUCAGCUAGAGUCUUGUAGAGGGGGGUAGAAUUCCAUGUGUAGCGGUGAAGUGCGUAGAGAUGUGGAGGAAUACCGGUGGCGAAGGCGGCCCCCUGGACAAAGACUGACGCUCAGGUGCGAAAGCGUGGGGAGCAAACCGGAUUAGAUACCCUCGUAGUC